UUUUGUAAUAGGAAUAGGGAAAGGGGCAGAGUGGUACCUCCACCUCUUCUUCGUGCCCUCGUGUUGUAGCGCUGCGGACCCACCAGCUACACCUCCGCCAUCUAGCUUGAUCUCGGGCUGCUCUCCGGACGGGCACUUGACCUCGUCGCGGCGGCGGCAGAAAAGGAGGGUUAAAGAACCUCCCCUCGACCUCGCUACGGCGGCGGCCGCAACAGCUCGGCAGCUCCAUGGACGAGGAGAACACGCGGCACUAAAAGGAAGAGUAGGUACGACCGGCGCUCCCAAAGACGGGGCGGCGGUCCUUCGGCACGCGCCUCAGACGUAUGACUCCACAACGCCUGCGGUUUCUGCCUCCUUUUCCCGUUACCUCUGCAGCUAAACAGCAACCAAUCUCCAUUACCGUGUCAUCGCGGAGGUUUAGCUCCAUACCAUUAAGGUCAAAUCUUCAUACCAAAACCCCUAGUAGGACAACCAAACCCACGAAUCCAUAACCAACGACCGACGGCCCGGUAUAACGAAUACGACGUCAUUCCGAUCAACUCUUGACCGCACUACGGUUUAACGGUUACAAGACGAGUACUUGAAAACUUGACGACAUAUUUUUUGCUCUCUCCCCCUUUCUGUGUGAUAUAAACCACGAUUUAAAAAUUAGUGUGACUUGUAGUCCCAGUUGGUAAUCAUCUAAAAUCUGAUCCAAACACAGUUGUGCACCCAAAGGCUACCAAAUACCUUCCGUACUAGGUCACUAUAUGACUACCCAAUAGAGAUAUGUACGUCCGACUUCGAUCUAGGUACCUUCAUCAUCAACACCAUCUUGUUUAGUACAAGUCGAGAACAAAGACACACCUUUAGAAUGUUAUAUAAAAGGUAUAUAAAAACCGCUUGAAAUAACUACUUGUUUCGAUGCCAAAUCGUAGGUCUGAUGAAUGAUAUCAACGAUCUUUAGAAUGUUAUAUAAAAAGUAUAUAAAAACCGUUUGAAAUAACUACUUGUCUCGAUGCCAAAUCGUAGGUCUGAUGAAUGAUAUCAACGAGUAGACGAGAAGCAAGCUGAACUCGGACCAUCAAAGUAAUGUUGACGUUGAACAGACCAGUUGAACUACAUAAAAAGGAAAAAUUAUUCUGGGGUGUGAAAAAACACAACAUGAGGGAGGCAAGGAUUUAUAAACAGAAAGAUCUCUAAAGUUUACCAGUGGUGUAUGCCUACAUAUAUCUGUAUAAAAUCUCAUAUCUAAGUGAGUAAAACGAGACAUACAUCAGUGGUAAACUUUGGAGAUCUUUCUGUUGAUAAAUCCUUGCUUCCCUCAUGUAGUAUCGUUGGUACCGCCCCUAAUCGUUCUUAUUUUCUCGUCGUAGUACGUACUCGAGGAAUAGCUCCUAUCCCCGACAGAACAAAGGCCCCGCCGUUAACCUCUUGAUCUUCUCCUAGGUUUGGGACGAUCCUGGUACCCAGACUUUGUACCUGCCUGUUUCAAUCAUCGACGAGAACCAAGUGUAGCUCCUUUAGGUCCACCCCUUCAACGAGUUUCGUAUAUCAUAUCAACGAGUUCCAUAUUACAUAUCAAAGAGUUUCUAGUUGACUGUACAAGAAGAAAAAAUCUCAACGAGUUUUCUCUCUUAUCAUUUAUCUAUAAAAAGUGUUAUUACGAUUAAGACCAUCGGGUUUUACUUUAUGUAUUCGAAAUACGCGGUGUGGCAUGUAGGUCCUGUUUAAUCGUUAGGAGAGGAGUAGUAGGUACAAUUGAAAAGAACUUGUCUUAUUUACGAUGGAAAUUUAUAUUCAAUCCUAGGACGACGGAGGGCUUUCACCAGCUAAGGAGAAGGUCCAGCGGUAGAAAGUUUGAGAUCUUCGGACCAGGCUACCGGGCAGACUUUCGGGCUGUCAGGACGUAGUAGGAGGGACACUUUUAUCGUUGUGUUUUUUCCUCGGUGAUCACUAUCUCGUUAAAGCUUUGUCUUAUCUCGUUGACGUACAGUAUUCCGUAUUUCGUGGUGUUUUUAUUUUGUACCACACUAAACCCUUCUUGAUGGUACGUUGUUUUCGUUGUUAUUGUUUGUGUGUUUUUCUAUGGUCUUAACAGGAUGUAUCAAACCUAGGGAAAACAUUACGUGUUAUGUACUUUCUAAUGUAUCAACGGUUGUUAGUUG
rnacentral:rRNA from 1 species